rnacentral:rRNA from 1 species
UACAGAGGGUGCGAGCGUUAAUCGGAAUUACUGGGCGUAAAGCGCACGUAGGUGGCGACGUAAGUCGGGUGUGAAAUCCCUGGGCUCAACCUGGGAACGGCAUUCGAGACUGUGUUGCUGGAGUACGGAAGAGGAGGGCGGAACUCCCGGUGUAGCGGUGAAAUGCGUAGAUAUCGGGAGGAACAUCAGUGGCGAAGGCGGCCCUCUGGUCCAGUACUGACACUCAAGUGCGAAAAGCGUGGGGAGCAAACAGG